ncrna:unclassified sequences SAM/SAH riboswitch
UGAUGCACGCAACGGCUUCCUGACGCGUGAGAUUAAAUUAUUGGAGCA